AAUUAUGGACAAUGGGGGCAACCCUGAUCCAGCCAUCCCGCGUGUGCGAUGAAGGCCUUCGGGUUGUAAAGCACUUUUGGCAGGGAAGAAAAGGCGCUGGUCAUUACCUGGCGCCUCUGACGGUACUUGCAGAAUAAGCACCGGCUAACUAACUGCCAGCAGCCGCGGUAAGACGUAGGGUGCAAGCUUUAAUCGGAAUUACUGGGCGGAAUACGUGCGCAGGCGGUUCGGAAAGAAGGAUGUGAAAUCCCGGGGCUUAACCUCGGAACUGCAUUCUUAACUGCCGGGCUAGAGUAUGUCAGAGGGGGGUAGAAUUCCACGUGUAGCAGUGAAAUGCGUAGAGAUGUGGAGGAAUACCGAUGGCGAAGGCAGCCGCCUGGGAUAAUACUGACGCUCAUGCACGAAAGAGUGGGGAGCAAACA
rnacentral:rRNA from 1 species